AGUUGUAUUUGCUUAGGAUGAUUUCCUUCCUUUCUCAGUGACUGAAAUUUCAGCUUGCAAAUAUUGAUGCUGUUUGUGUCUAGAAAAGCAAAUGUUAAUGUAUUUAGUUUAAAAUCAGAGUUGCUAAAUGUAGGUGGAACUGGAUGAUAAAUAUAUGUGCUCGUUAUGGCUUCCUGCAUAAUGAGAUUUGCUGAAAGCAUUGACUUUCCUCCUUUGGAACUCAUUGGUAUUUGAUUUGAUGAGUUCAGGUAGAAAACCACCAAGUUCAGGUAAAAAAAACACCAAAUACUUCACCAAAUUUUGAUAUGGGUUUCGAAUCUGGUGAAUUCAUUUGGUUUGAAUUGUGAAUGCAUAUUCCUGGUGGAAAUAAGCUCUUUUUGCAGUGGAGAAAUGAGCAGUGGGUGAGCUUGGCCAUUACUUUUGUAUCUCUGCAUUAAUAACAAAACAACGUGACAAGACACAUACCAGAUUUUUCAAUCAGUUCUACCCUUAAAUUUCCACAUCCUUCAAAGAAGCAAAACAUUCCAGCAAUAAAACUGAGAGUAAACAGGGGCAGUGAUGGGGAGAAGCAGCAGAAGUGCUGGGGAGGUGCCAGCCUCUAGAGACAACAUUCAGUUUACCCUAACUUUUAAAAAUGUGUCAGCAUUGUUUCCCUUUCAAAGAAACAUGCAACGCUUCAGUGAACCUGACAUCUCUUGGAGCUGACCCUAUUAAUUAUUUUUGACUUACUGUGUGCUAUACAUCCACAGGGAUUUGCAGAGAACCGAGUGCACCAUUGUCAAGGGCUUUCAUUCCUUCUUUCUAUUUCCUGGUGCAUGUUAGAGAGUUUACAGUCACUCAUGGGAGAAAAAAUGGGAGCUAUAGGGAGAGAGACAAGAGGAAGAAGAAAUCCAGCUGAGUUCUGUGGCUUCAUGACAGAGACAGCUGUACCCAGGAUGGUUCUGAUUCCAAGCCAGAACCAAAUCCUGCCUGCAUGGGAAAACUUGGUAUAGAAGAUAACAAAAACAAAAAUUUAAAAUUCAGACAUGAGUGAUUUGCCUAAUUAUUGUCAGUGUUGGAUUUCUCUUGCAAUCCUGAAUUUAAAAGAGAGUAAGGGAACACCGUUGCCCUGAUUGAUCAAUAUUUAGCACUGUAAUAUCUGCACUUUUUUAAAAAAAAAAUUCUUUUAAUUCAACUGACAAGCCAUGAUACACCAGUGUGAGUCUUGUCAGUUGUCAGGAAUGUGGGAGUAUAAAUGGGAGUGUCAGCAUAAAUGUGCUGGAACAAGAUUGACUCCUGGAGCAAUACAGUCUUGAAACACAGGCUGCAAUUUGGCACUCUGCUCUCUGUGGAUAAUCUCUAAUAAGAGUUUACUCCUUCAAUCUGAUUUCAGUGUUGGAUCACUCUUUCCAGUUGUUCUUUUUUCCCUGAAAAGUACAAUUUCCACCUCUAACCAUGACACAAUCCAGCAUUUAUAAGCAACUGGUUGCCCUAAGCAGAGCUGCUACCUCUGCUCAGGGUUACCUGGAGGGUGAUUUGGCUGUGCCAGAUUUUGACCUCCUGAAAGCAGCAGAAAUCAAUGAAAAUUGAGUGCAGCUAAAAGGAAAACAUGGAUUUUUACUGGGACUGUGAUUAGGGAUCUCAGCCAGAUUAUAAAUUCCUUUGAAACUUUCAUAUGCUUGAGACUUUUUGUCAGGCAUUUGUCAUAAUUGUUGAUUCUUUUUAAACCAAGAAGGAAA